rnacentral:rRNA from 1 species
AACGAACGUUGGCGGCGUGGAUUAGGCAUGCAAGUCGCGGGAAUCCCAGCAAUGGGGGAACCGGCGUAAGGGGCAGUAAUGCGUGGGUACCUACCCCGGGGUCCGGGAUAGCCGUCCGAGAGGGCGGGUAAUACCGGAUGACCUCGGGAGAGCAAAGCUCCGGCGCCCUGGGAGGGGCCCACGUGAUAUUAGCUAGUUGGUGAGGUAAUGGCUCACCAAGGCGGAGAUGUCUAGCGGGUGUGAGAGCACGACCCGCGCCACCCGCACUGAGACACUGGCGAGACACCUACGGGUGGCUGCAGUCGAGGAUCUUCGGCAAUGCGCGCAAGCGCGACCGAGCGACGCCGCGUGGGCGAUGAAGGCCUUCGGGUUGUAAAGCCCUGUCGAGGGGGAG